UCCGGGUAUUAUGCCCAUGCCUA
rnacentral:siRNA from 1 species